GGAUGCCACAGGCAGGCACUGGCAGUGCAGGGAACAUCCAGCCCAGCACAAAAUGGAUGCCCAGGCAUUGAUUAAACCCACUGGAGGCACUGGAGCUAAUCAGAGCUGAGGAUGCUACUAGAACAGAACAAAGCAUUGGAAACCAUCUACUCUGAAGAGCUGAAGACAGUUCAAAUGAGAAAACAGCAGUUUUGAAGCAAAGCAGGAAAACAAUGGACUGGGAGGGGGAAGAGGAAAAUGUCCUUCAUUCCUGCAAUCAGGAAGUUAUGGGUGACCUGUAUUAGUGAGGAAGUUAGGGAAAAACACAGAUCUUACUCUAGGACUCAGAUAAGUUUCUGAAUGAAAUUCUGGACUGUCUUCAAUAAGCUGCUAAGAAGCAUGGGAGCUUAAAAUUGUUGUUCUCUUCACUACCUUGGCAUUCUAAUGAAAAAUAGUCCAAACAUUGUCCUGUGUUUAUAAUGUAUUACCAGAGAAUAGAACAGAACUAUGCCUAAAUUCA